rnacentral:rRNA from 1 species
UGAGCAACCUGCCCAUGGCUUUGGGAUAACCCUCGGAAACGGGGGCUAAUACCGAAUGUUCACUGCUGGACGCAUGUUUGGUGGUGGAAAGUUUUUCGGCUGGGGAUGGGCUCGCGGCCUAUCAGCUUGUUGGUGGGGUGAUGGCCUACCAAGGCGACGACGGGUAGCCGGCCUGAGAGGGCGACCGGCCACACUGGGACUGAGACACGGCCCAGACCUCCGUACGGGAGCAG